rnacentral:rRNA from 1 species
UGGGGAAUUUUGGACAAUGGGGGCAACCCUGAUCCAGCCAUGCCGCGUGCGGGAAGAAGGCCUUCGGGUUGUAAACCGCUUUAGUCCGGGAAAAAUGUCACUUUCGUUAAUACCGAAGGUGGUUGAUGGUACCGGAAGAAUAAGGACCGGCUAACUACGUGCCAGCAGCCGCGGUAAUACGUAGGGUCCAAGCGUUAAUCGGAAUUACUGGGCGUAAAGCGUGCGCAGGCGGUUUUGUAAGACAGAGGUGAAAUCCCCGAGCUUAACUUGGGAACGGCCUUUGUGACUGCAAAGCUAGAGUGUGUCAGAGGGGGGUGGAAUUCCACGUGUAGCAGUGAAAUGCGUAGAGAUGUGGAGGAACACCGAUGGCGAAGGCAACCCCCUGGGAUAACACUGACGC